UCGCUUGGGAAGGUACGGUCGCAAGACUAAACUCAAAGGAAUGACGGGGCGCACAGCGGUGGAUUAUGUGGUUAAUUCCGAAGCACGCCGCCAGAACCUUACCUAGGUUUGAAAUCCUGAGAAUCACCCGAAAAGGUGGAGUGUCCUUCGGGGAAUUCAGUGACAGGCGCUGCAUGGCUGUCGUCAGCUCGUGUCGUGAGAUGUUGGGUUAAGUCUCGCAACGAGCGCAACCCCUAUUUUUAGUUGCCAGCAUUAAGUUGGGCACUCUAAAGAAACUGCCUGGGUUAACCAGGAGGAAGGUGGGGAUGACGUCAAGUCCUCAUGGCCCUUAUACCUAGGGCUACACACGUAAUACAAUGGCCAGUACAAGGGGAAGCGAACCCGCGAGGGCAAGCAAAUCUCUAAAAGCUGGUCUCAGUCCGGAUUGGAGUCUGCAACUCGACUCCAUGAAGUUGGAAUCGCUAGUAAUCGUGGAUCAGCACGCCACGGUGAAUACGUUCCCGGGCCUUGUACACACCGCCCGUCACACCAUGGGAGUUGGUUUUACCUGAAGUCGUGGCCCUAACUGCUUGCAGAGGGGAGCGCCUACGGUCGAACUGAUGACUGGGGUGAAGUCGUAACAAGGUAA
rnacentral:rRNA from 1 species